rnacentral:rRNA from 1 species
GUUGGGCCACCGGUCGCUCUUCACCCUUUGUGACAUACCCAACUGUUGCUUCGGCGGGUCGGGGCGCCCUCCCGGGGGCGCCCCCCAGGCCCGGCCCCUCCCGGGGCCGAGCGCCCGCCGGAGGAUCACCCAACUCUAUUUUAACGACGUUUCUUCUGAGUGGCACAAGCAAAUAAUUAAAACUUUUAACAACGGAUCUCUUGGUUCUGGCAUCGAUGAAGAACGCAGCGAAAUGCGAUAAGUAAUGUGAAUUGCAGAAUUCAGUGAAUCAUCGAAUCUUUGAACGCACAUUGCGCCCGCCAGCAUUCUGGCGGGCAUGCCUGUUCGAGCGUCAUUUCAACCCUCAAGCCCGGCUUGGUGUUGGGGCACUACGGUCGACGUAGGCCCUUAAAGGUAGUGGCGGACCCUCCCGGAGCCUCCUUUGCGUAGUAACUAACGUCUCGCAUCGGGAUCCGGAGGGACUCCUGCCGUAAAACCCCCACACUUUUUCUGGUUGACCUCGGAUCAGGUAGGAAUACCCGCUGAACUUAAGCAUAUCAAUAAGACGGAGGAA